rnacentral:sRNA from 1 species
GCGACCUUGGGCCUUGGCCCACGCUCUAACCGACUGAGCUAUGGCGGCUGUUGG